GACGGUCUCACGCGCCAGGAUCACACGUGCCUCGCCGUUUCGGACGGCGACGACCGGCGGGCGGGGCACGUGGUUGUAGUUCGAGCCCAUGGAGCGGCA
rnacentral:tRNA from 1 species